GGGAGUGAAAUAGAACCUGAAACCCUGCACUUACAAGCUGUGGAAGCACAUUUCUUGUGUGACCGCGUACUUUUUGUAGAACGGGCCAACGAGUUACGUUAAGUAGCAAGGUUAAGCACUUAAGGUGUGGAGCCGUAGCGAAAGCGAGUUUUAACUGAGCGUUCAGUUACUUGACGUAGACCCGAAACCGGGCGACCUACCCAUG
rnacentral:rRNA from 1 species